GACCCCUUAGCUCAGUGGUAGAGCGUGAGAUUCCAGCGCUCUGGAAAUUCCUCAAGGUCAAGCGUUCAACUCGCUUAGGGGUCA